AACGAACGCUGGCGGCAUGCCUAACACAUGCAAGUCGAACGGGACCGUCGGGUCUAGUGGCGCACGGGGGCGUAACGCGGGGGAACCUGCACGUAGGUUCGGAGUAACUCCCCGAGGGGGGUGCUAAGAACGGAGGAUGUAUUAGGACCAAAGAUUUAUCGCCUUUGGCUGGGCGCGGGUUGGAUUAGCUGGUUGGUAGUGUAAAAGCAUGUCAAGGCGACGAUGCAUAGCUGGUCGGAGAGGAUGCUCAGCCACGCUGGGGCUGCGACACGGCCCAGACUGCUACGGGAGGGAGCAGUGGGGAAUACUGGAGACUGGGCGAAGGCCUGAUCCAGCAACGCCGGGUGAGUGAUGAUGGCCUUAGGGUUGUAAAGCCCUUUGACCCGGGAUGAUAAUGACAGUACCGGGUGAAUAAGCACCGGCUAACUCCGUG
rnacentral:rRNA from 1 species